rnacentral:rRNA from 1 species
AGAGUUUGAUCCUGGCUCAGAGUGAACGCUGGCGGCGUGCUUAACACAUGCAAGUCGAACGAGAACGGUCCUUCGGGAUGUCAGCUAAGUGGCGGACGGGUGAGUAAUGUAUAGUUAAUCUGCCCUUUAGAGGGGGAUAACAGUUGGAAACGACUGCUAAUACCCCAUACUCCUUCUAUGUUAAUCAUAGUUGGGAAAUGUUUUUUCGCUAAAGGAUGAGACUAUAUGGUAUCAGGUAGUUGGUGGGGUAAGAGCCUACCAAGCCAAUGACGCCUAGCUGGUCUGAGAGGAUGAUCAGCCACACUGGAACUGAGACACGGUCCAGACUCCUACGGGAGGCAGCAGUGGGGAAUAUUGCACAAUGGAGGAAACUCUGAUGCAGCAACGCCGCGUGGAGGAUGACGCAUUUCGGUGUGUAAACUCCUUUUAUAUAGGAAGAUAAUGACGGUACUAUAUGAAUAAGCACCGGCUAACUCCGUGCCAGCAGCCGCGGUAAUACGGAGGGUGCGAGCGUUAAUCGGAAUUACUGGGCGUAAAGCGCGCGUAGGCGGCCUGAUCAGUCGGAUGUGAAAGCCCUGGGCUUAACCUGGGAAUUGCAUUCGAUACUGUCAGGCUAGAGUAUGGGAGAGGGAAGUGGAAUUUCCGGUGUAGCGGUGAAAUGCGUAGAUAUCGGAAGGAACACCAGUGGCGAAGGCGACUUCCUGGCCCAAUACUGACGCUGAGGUGCGAAAGCGUGGGUAGCGAACAGGAUUAGAUACCCUGGUAGUCCACGCCGUAAACGAUGAGAACUAGAUGUCGGGAGGAUUUACCUUUCGGUGUCGCAGCUAACGCGUUAAGUUCUCCGCCUGGGGAGUACGCCGGCAACGGUAAAACUCAAAGGAAUUGACGGGGACCCGCACAAGCGGUGGAGCAUGUGGUUUAAUUCGAUGCAACGCGAAGAACCUUACCUGGUCUUGACAUCUUUAAGAACACUUUAGAGAUAGAGUGGUGCCUUCGGGAGCUUUUAUACAGGUGCUGCACGGCUGUCGUCAGCUCGUGUCGUGAGAUGUUGGGUUAAGUCCCGCAACGAGCGCAACCCUCGUCACUAGUUACUAACGGUUCGGCCGAGGACUCUAGUGAGACUGCCUUCGCAAGGAGGAGGAAGGUGAGGACGACGUCAAGUCAUCAUGGCCCUUACGGCUAGGGCAACACACGUGCUACAAUGGCCAGGACAAUGAGAAGCGAUACCGCGAGGUGGAGCAAAUCUAUAAACCUGGUCUCAGUUCGGAUUGUAGUCUGCAACUCGACUACAUGAAGCUGGAAUCACUAGUAAUCGUAGAUCAGCUAUGCUACGGUGAAUACGUUCCCGGGUCUUGUACUCACCGCCCGUCACACCAUGGGAGUUGAUUUCACCCGAAGCGGGGAAGCUAAACUGGCUACCCUCCACGGUGGAAUCAGCGACUGGGGUGAAGUCGUAACAAGGUAACC